AUGGCUCUGACAGCGAAUGCGGUUGCGAGGCAGUUCACUACAUUUGUCCCAGAACGGACACAUCGGCCAACUGGUUGCCGUGGCUGGUAUGACUACAACAGUUCCCAAGAGCUUGCUGACACACAAGAUGAACUAGAUGGAGACGCUGGUCUCAGCAAGGAUGACGACGAUGACAUGGAGAACGUGCAACAGGACACCGAUGAUGAUGAACAUGUUGAAGUUCGUGCAGGUGAUAAGAAGGGCAAGGAUGCACGAGAUGUCCCCCCACCGGAGAAAGUCAAAGAACAUACGGCUGCGAGAGGCGAGGGGGUGUUGCCAUCAAAGAGGGGGAGGGCUCUAGAGGAUGUUGGGCAGGGUUCUCCUGGCAAGAGGUCUAGGACCGAUCUCGUAGCUGCUAGGAGGAGUGAGGCGACAGCUGGUGGACGAGCAGUUACGAAGAAACAUGCACCAACGCCAACCCGUGUUUCUGCUCGGUUGAACAAAGGUGCCCCCAUUGCUGGUGACACCCCUUCCACCAGGUUAUCUCCUCGUACGACGACGCCCAACACCGUGGAUCCUGUCGUGCUGCCAGACCUGAGAAAGCCAGUUAAGAAAGCCAAGCAUAUCAUUAGGGACCCACUCGAACGCCUUUCAUUCAAAGUUGUCAACAGGGGCAACUCAGAUGUUCAUGAGGCGCCAGUCGACAAAACUGCUGCUACACCGUCAACUAUUCCCACUAACUCUGACGCAAGUGGCCGACCAUCUCUGUCGGUUGCAGAUGUGCAGGUUAGAAUAACAGGCAUCCGUACAUCGGGGAGUGACGAGUCGGUAUCUGCCAGGACAGCUGAAUUAUUGCCAACUCUUCUGGCAAUGAAGGAUGCUGCUGUGAGCCAUGCCACCCGAUCAGCAAGCGUUGAAGUGGACGCUCCUGAGACCAACCUAAGCAAGGAAGAUUCCCGCUCAUCUGACACUGAUUCCAAGCGCGUGCGUGGUGGCACUCCUGUGUCCACGACAGAAGUGGCUGAGGUGGCAAUUCAUAAUGAUGUGCCAUCUGCAGGUGAGAGUCUUGGCACAACAGCUCCAGCUCCUGUCGGUGCAGAUACUGCUAAGGCGACUGUUUCGCGUGCCGGUUUUCCACCGAGGCGUCGUAGCCCCCGCAAGCAAUCAACAGACAUACCCAACGCACCAGCUGUAGCUAGGAGCAACAGUGAUGAGUCUGGUUAUGUUCCUGCGUCCACACUGUACCCGCCACCUGCCAAAAGCAAUGUGAUGGAGAAACCGGAAGACCGGAGCACAACUGAUGCAGGUGUCAAGCCGGGCACGAGUGACGCAGGUGAACGUCCAGAGCAGACUGCGCCUUUACCCGCAGUGGAAAUCCCCAGCUUAAAUCUGCGCACUUCCAGGCUCCCAGUCAAUGUUGGUGUCCCCUACAGCCCAAACAAGAAGAUUGUCAAGGAAGUUGCGGCUGAUACCGCUGACAACACGCCCCUCCCUACAAAUAAGCCCGAUCAUUCUAUAGCGGCUGAUUCAGAUAUGUUUGUUGAUCUUUCACCCUUGGAUUCUGCCCCGCAAGUUGAUCGCAGUUCGGCCAGUAGGCAUGAGAGGCACCCAAUGGCCUUCACCCCACCGAGCUUCAGCCUUGGCAUCAGUCAAGAUCAACCAGUGGUGCCAGAUCCUAUGCCAGUUGUCUUUGCUUUCCCGGGAGGCAUGCCCGCAAUGAUGGCGCAGCCAAUGGUCGAGGGCAGGAAGGCUGUCAAGUUCACAGAGUCGAUCGUCCAAGGCACCCCUGAGGAGAUUUCACCGUCACUUGAUGAAUGUUACCGUAGGAUCGAGGGGGCAGCAUUGCAGAGGAGGUCCUCACGAGGUCAGGGGCAAUCAAGUUCCAAUGUGCCUGCAGAUACGGCAUCUGAGGAUACCAUUAGGAGUUGA
rnacentral:rRNA from 1 species